CAUAAACAGCUUGAUUUAAAUACAAGCCAAAUACAAUUAAUUUCUGUUAACCAUUUAUAAUUGUGGCUUAUUAUUACAUCUUGAAAGGACUGGAUAUCUGAGCACUGUCUGACAUUACUUUUGACUUCACUGGAGGUAACCUAGAAGGAGAGAGAUGUCUCAGCAGUUUCUUUAUCAAUCGCCACCUUUGGAUUUAGCCUUCUGUGGUCAUUUUGAAUAGCAAGCAUCUGAGACAGCAAAGGUGGGCGCAACUGCCAAAACCACAACCCACGGUCAAAAGGAUCGUCAUCCAUUUGGGGGUGCUCUACGUGUAUGAAGUUAUUUAAUACUUAUAACAACUUUAUGAGAAUACUCCCCUCUUCAUGUCGGCAGAGCAACAAAGGCAAACUUUGGCAACCACUUGAUUGUCUAACUGAAAUGAGCUGAGCUUUGCAAAACUGGAAGAGAAAUAUGCCUUUUGGUCACUAUAUGUCAGAGUGCUGAAAGAAUGAAAUGGACGCAUGUCAGCCCAAAAACAUAAAGCAGAAAGAAACCAUUUCAUGUCCAGAAGCAUAUCCUAGAAGACAACUGCUAAAGAGAAGGGAUUAGUAAAAGAAAAAAAAAAAGAAGGAAAAAAAUCUUCAAAGCAAAUGAAAAGAAACAGACAGUUCUUCAAAACAAGAGAGGAAAUUGGAAAAAGAACAUUUGGGGAAGAAAAAAGCAUGUGGAAUUUCUCUAAACAGAAGAUGGAAUGAUCCAUUUUACCUGCAGAGAGUGCAAGGAUCAAGGAAAGCUUCAGGUGCCUGGAUGUUGAGGGGCAAAUAGGACUGUUCACUGAAGGAGCUAGAGAAUGGAAGAGAAGGUUGUGUCAGAUAGAAAUAACAGAAGCUUUCUGAAAUGAAAACAGAAAUGUUACAACUUGCACCACAGUACUGGACUGAAACGAAGAUGUAACACAGCCAUAAUAAUUUAAAUUAAUAGCAAAUAAAUAAAGAAAAAAAGAACUUCAUUGUGAGGACCAUAGUCAUGGGAUAGCUCUGUCUUUUCGGGGAAAGUGGAGUAGAGGGACAGAGUCACCCCAGGAGAAAAAAUGCUUAAAUUAAGACUCCCUGAGAGACUGAAUAAGAGUAUGAUUAGUUCAGCCUUGCUUUCAUCCUCCACUUCCCCCUCCCACUGUAGACUUCAGUUUUAAUAAUGAUUAAAGAAUAAUGCCUGAAUCCCAUCUGAAUGGCUUUUGAGAUUUAACUCACUGAAUCUAUUCAUAGCUUUGAGCUUGUAAGGGGGACUGAACAGAUCUGCACAACUAAUCGUGGAAUAUUACACUGAUACUUCAUCUCCCACAUCAAUACCAAUUACGCCUGCACAGAGAGCAUCACAUAUUAUUUUAAUAGGAUAGGAAUUUUUAAUCCAGUCAGGUAGUUCUGGAUGAAUGUGUUUGUAUGUCUGUCAUUAAAAUUUGGUGGCUCAUGCUGCUCAAGACAGACACAUUUUGAAUGUUUAAAAUUUCCACAGAUGUUAUUUAUCCAUCAGGAUGGAAAAUUUCCUGCUCUCCAGUGUAUAGAUUCUGCCUCAUUAACAUAAAUAAAGAAUAAGGCAUAACAACAACAAUCUUGCUUAAUGUGUACACACAGAAAUAUUGUCAUAGGCAUCUGGCAAUCAGUUGGAGACGGUGAAAACUGCUAAAUGAAUGAAAGUGGCAGAACUAGCAGAAGUAUGAGAUCCCAUACUGGAGAAAAAGGCUCACUGUUAAAAUAUUUUGUUUCUUUGUUCUACUCCUUUUUUAUUUUCAAGGCAUUUUAUUCAGCUUGGACCUUCAGAUAAAAG
rnacentral:lncRNA from 10 species